CCUACGGGUGGCAGCAGUGAGGAAUAUUGGUCAAUGGACGAGAGUCUGAACCAGCCAAGUAGCGUGAAGGAUGACUGCCCUAUGGGUUGUAAACUUCUUUUAUAUGGGAAUAAACUGUUCCACGUGUGGGCUUUUGUAUGUCCCAUAUGAAUAAGAAUCGGCUAACUCCUUGCCAGCAGCCGCGGUAAUACGGAGGAUCCGAGCGUUAUCCGGAGUUAUUGGGUUUAAAGGGAGCGUAGGUGGAUUGUUAAGUCAGUUGUGAAAGUUUGCGGCUCAACCGUAAAAUUGCAGUUGAAACUGGAAGUCUUGAGUACAGGAGAGGUGGGCGGAAUUCGUGGUGUAGCGGUGAAAUGCUUAGAUAUUGCGCAGAACUCCGAUUGCGAAGGCAGCAUACCGGCGGCGAUCUGACGCUGAGGCACGAAAGCGUGGGUAUCGAACAGGAUUAGAUACCCGAGUAGUC
rnacentral:rRNA from 1 species